rnacentral:tRNA from 1 species
GCUUGGCUGGCUCAGUUGGUAGAGCAUGCAACUCUUGAUCUCAGGGUGGUGAGUUCAAGCCCCACGUUGGGUG